rnacentral:lncRNA from 10 species
UCAACACAAAAUAUGCUUGGGUGGAAAUUCUUUUCUCUGAAUCUUCUGCUCAGCCUGAAAACUUGAUUUUGAUAGAAGAGGAAGAAUUUUGCCUGGUUUUCUUGGCUUGAUUGAUUUGGUGAGCUGAAAGAAAGACACUGCUUCAUCAGAAUUCAAACAACAGAAAACAUCUCCCAGGCCCCCUAGAAGAUGCCAAUCAAAAUAAACUGCAUUCUUGAGACACAGGGCAAGAAAUUAAAGCUAUCCACCUCCUCAAGGCCCAGGGACUACGUGGAAGAGACAUCGAGUCAUGAAUAUGGAAUGACUUCACCUGACUUCACUUGAAAUUCACUUAAUUUUCAACUCUGUUGGCUAUGAGGUCUCUCAAAACAGAAUUUUGGCUUUUCCAGAUUGGCAAAUAGCUCUUAGUUAAAUGUGGCUUUCAAGUAUGUGUUUACUCCUUUAUGUUUCAAUUUUCCUUCAAUUUUGGCCUGGAGAGUGUCUCAACUAAGAAGCUAAAAAGGGAAAGAAAAGAAAAGCAGUUAUGUUUUUUUCCCCUCCGGCCUAUACAAACACAUACACACCAAGGUGAGA